UACAGGUAGGUGAUGAGAGACAUUUACUUAUUAGAAAGUGGACCAACUAGUAUGUUUAAGUGUGCUAAUUCAGUGUCAGAAUGUAUUUUCUAAUAAUCAUAAUAAUAGAAAAAUAAUCUGAAAUAUAUUAGUGUAUUAUUAUAACUGCAGGGCAGAAAUGGGAAAAAAACCCAUUUAAUUAAAGAUUUUAAUGAUAUAGCUACAACCGAAAAUGUAUCCAAACAAAAACAAAUAUAAAUCAAAUAGAUGUAAAAUAAACAAGGAGUAGUGACCUGUUAAUUUGACAGAUCCACUGCAUUUGACCUUGGUAAAAUAAAAGUCCAUUGCAGCUCAUGUUAAUGCUGAUUGGUGAUUGAAAGCAAAUAUUAUUCAGCACUAUUUGUUGUAGGAGGUAAAAACACAAGAGAUAUGAGAUGAAGGGAGAGAGAUGGAGAAAAGAUGCAAGGCAGAAGAGGAAACAGGAUGAAACAGAGAGAACAUUAGGAGUGUGUGUGGUUGAUUUGCUCUGUGAAGCUUCAAGCUACAACCAGAUGUCCUUCACACACUCUCUCUCUCUCUGUCUCUCUCUCUCUCUCUCUCUCUCUCUCUCUCUCACACACACACACACACACACACACACACACACACACACAAUUCAGUUCAAUUCAAUUCAAAGAGCUUUUUUGGCAUGAAUAAAACCAUGUUGCCAAAGCAAUUAAUAAUAGUGCAUAUUUUGCAUAUCAAAUAUUAAAAAAACCUAUAAACUAUACAUUUAUCUUGUGCAUUUAUAUAUAUACUUUUUUUCAAUACAAUACAGUGAUUAAAAAUAUAUAUUAUUGGUGCCCGGUUACCUCAGUCGGUAGAGCUGGCAACCCAUAUACGAAUCCGACCUGCGGCCCUUUGCUGCGUGUCAUCCCCUCUUUCUCUCUCCACCCACCUUUCCUGUCUCUCUACAGUUGUCUCUAUAAAUAAAGCUAACAAAAAUGCCAAAAAAAAGUAAUAUAACAAUAUAUAUUAUUAAAAGGGACAUAUUAUGCAAAACCAACUUUUUAAUCAUUUGAUUAUGUACAUUUGGGAAUCUGGAGGGCCUAUCAGCAGGCAAAGUGUGAAAAAAAUGACUCAGUCAUGUUUUUGUGGGCUGCCUCAGUCAGAAUACAGGAGAUAAAUCACUCAAUUUCAGACAGAGUUUUGACGUCAUUUCGGCUCAAUGUUGCCACCCACCGCAGUUUACUUCCUGUUGACUAUCGGAGCUCCGCCAUUGUUACUAUAAAAUAGCAAGCUAGCGGAGCCUGCCGCCUGCCAGCCUAAUGUCUGGGCAAAGACUUCAGCAGGCAAACUGUUCAGUCAUUGGCUGCACAACCCAACACAAAUUUACAUAUGUAUGAGCACAGUGGAUUUAUUUUUAUUUUUGACGGCAAUGUCCGGCGGAAAAACCGGAAUGUGUCUGAACCACUUCGUGUCGGACUGUUUUCACAACCUCGGUCAGUACAACACUGGACUGGCUGAAAGACUGUUCCUGAAAGAGGGAUUGUACCAACUGUCUGUGGAGAGACAGCAGAGGAAGUCACUGAAACCUGAUGAACCUCAGGUGUUCCUGGACCCAUCAGAGGACAGAGACAGCUGCAGCUGUUACUUACAACAUGUGUAACUGGAAUAUGAAUGAAACAUAAAUAAAGUGUUUUAUUUUUAAUAAGA